rnacentral:rRNA from 1 species
CCUACGGGUGGCAGCAGUGAGGAAUAUUGGUCAAUGGACGAGAGUCUGAACCAGCCAAGUAGCGUGAAGGAUGACUGUCCUAUGGGUUGUAAACUUCUUUUAUAUGGGAAUAAAAUGUUCCACGUGUGGGAUUUUGCAUGUACCUUAUGAAUAAGGAUCGGCUAACUCCGUGCCAGCAGCCGCGGUAAUCCGGAGGAUCCGAGCGUUAUCCGGAUUUAUUGGGUGUAAAGGGAGCGUAGGCGGGUUGUUAAGUCAGUUGUGAACGUUUGCGGCUCAACCGUAAAAUUGCAGUUGAUACUGGCAGCCUUGAGUACAGUAGAGGGAGGCGGAAUUCGUGGUGUAGCGGUGAAAUGCGUAGAUAUCACGAAGAACUCCGAUUGCGAAGGCAGCCUGCUGGACUGUAACUGACGCUGAUGCUCGAAAGUGUGGGUAGCAAACAGGAUUAGAUACCCGAGUAGUC